UGGCUCAGAUUGAACGCUGGCGGCAGGCCUAACACAUGCAAGUCGAACGGUAACAGGAAGCAGCUUGCUGCUUUGCUGACGAGUGGCGGACGGGUGAGUAAUGUCUGGGAAACUGCCUGAUGGAGGGGGAUAACUACUGGAAACGGUGGCUAAUACCGCAUAACGUCGCAAGACCAAAGAGGGGGACCUUCGGGCCUCUUGCCAUCAGAUGUGCCCAGAUGGGAUUAGCUUGUUGGUGAGGUAACGGCUCACCAAGGCGACGAUCCCUAGCUGGUCUGAGAGGAUGACCAGCCACACUGGAACUGAGACACGGUCCAGACUCCUACGGGAGGCAGCAGUGGGGAAUAUUGCACAAUGGGCGCAAGCCUGAUGCAGCCAUGCCGCGUGUAUGAAGAAGGCCUUCGGGUUGUAAAGUA
rnacentral:rRNA from 2 species